CCAGAGUCUGCUGUUCUCAGGGUGGCUUCACCCAGGACGCCGUCCAUUCUACAUACAGUCUAUGGAUAAGACCGGGAAGUAUGUAUUUUUUUUGUCUCAUGUGAAUAUACUUUGUUUCUUGGGGCUUUAUUUUAUGUAUACAAUGUUAAUAUGAUUCUUUUGUGUAUUUAUAUGUUCAGGAUGACCACUUCAAACAAACUUGAGCACGUGAGGAAAAAAUGUCACCUCGGGUCCUCUCAGUAGAGCGGGUCCUCGCAGUGGAGGUUUGAAGCCAGACCCCUCUCCCUUGCAUCUGCUGUGUAUGUGGUCAUGUAAAUGGGGACCCAUGUUCAGGUAAGCCUGAAAACAUGCACCUGAAUCUCUAACCCUUAGGCCAAGAUUUGCAAAUGCUGG
rnacentral:lncRNA from 1 species